UACGUAGGGUCCAAGCGUUAUCCGGAAUCACUGGGCGUAAAGCGUGCGUAGGCGGGUGUUUAAGUGCAAUGCGAAAUCCUGUGGCUCAACCAUAUGGACUGUAUUGCAUACUGGAUAUCUGGAGGAAUGCAGAGGCAAGUGGAAUUACCGGUGUAGCAGUGAAAUGCGUAGAUAUCGGUAGGAACACCAAUGGCGAAGGCAGCUUGCUGGGCAUUUUCUGACGCUAAGGCACGAAAGCGUGGGGGAGCGAACAGG
rnacentral:rRNA from 1 species